rnacentral:lncRNA from 1 species
GACUGCUGGCUGUGGUGCCGGGGCUCCUGUGCUGUGCCCCCUCACCCUCCUCUGGGAUGCAUGUCAGUGUUGUGACACUGAUCCUACUUCUCCAGAAACAUUCAUGAUCAGUGUUCUUGUAACUCAGUGAUAUUCUAAUACAUAGGACGGAAUUAUAUUUCCUUUCUCAGAGGAAAAUUAAGAAGUCUAGGAUGGAAUAUUCAUAUUUCCAUGUGUUCUGAAAAUGAGUGAAUAUGCCCUCUCUCCUGGUAGUGUUCAUGUAGUCUGAAUUCCUGGGAUUGAGAAGGCUUCCCAGUUCCCUCCACACCACGGAGCCAGCACAAGGUGAAGAAACCCCAGGAAACACUGCCACAGGUGUUUUAUUUGUGGUUCACUGCAGAGGGAGGACGAGGACGUGGGAGGACUCUGCCUGCUCCAGGUGGAUGAGGCCCCUGGCAGAGGUGUUUCAUUAUCCAGGCAAGGUGCCACAUGAAGCAGACGCCUUUGCUGCCAGUGUGGAUCACACCAUGAGGCCAAGCCACUGCGUCUCCGAGGCCAUGUGGAGUCAGGCCGCAGGUGUCCCUGCACCACCUCUGUGGGCUGGGGCAGCUGCCCUGUCCUGCAGCUGCACUCUAGGAGCCCUGCUUCUCUUCCUGUCUGGGGUGACAUCGUCUGCCCUGCAGUGCCCGCUUCCUUCCUUCCGUCUGCCUGGCCAUCUCUGUCCCACCCCUGAGCCCCGCCCUCCCUGACCUUGACCACAGCAGCCUGGUGCCAGUGUGGUUUCCAGCUCAGGACUCCCUGAGUGUGCCCUGGCACUUCACCAGCCAAGUGGGACCCAGAAACCCAAAUGCCCACCCCACAUAGCUUACCUGGGAUGGGGCAGGCGGACAGCAACAAAUAAAAUCAGCGUAUCUUGAAGGGUUCUAGAAGGCAGCCAGAGCUGGAUAGACCAUAUGCCAAACUGAGGUGCAG